GACGAACGCUGGCGGCGUGCCUAAUACAUGCAAGUAGAACGCACAGUUUAUACCGUAGCUUGCUACACCAUAAACUGUGAGUUGCGAACGGGUGAGUAACGCGUAGGUAACCUGCCUGGUAGCGGGGGAUAACUAUUGGAAACGAUAGCUAAUACCGCAUAAUAUUGAUUAUUGCAUGAUAAUUGAUUGAAAGAUGCUAUUGCAUCACUACCAGAUGGACCUGCGUUGUAUUAGCUAGUAGGUGAGGUAACGGCUCACCUAGGCGACGAUACAUAGCCGACCUGGGAGGGUGAUCGGCCACACUGGGACGGGGACACGGCCCAGACUCCUGCGGGAGGCAGCAGUAGGGAAUCUUCGGCAAUGGACGAAAGUCUGACCGAGCAACGCCGCGUGAGUGAAGAAGGUUGUCGGAUCGUAAAGCUCUGUUGUAAGAGAAGAACGGGUGUGAGAGUGGAAAGUUCACACUGUGACGGUAUCUUACCAGAAAGGGACGGCUAACUACGUG
rnacentral:rRNA from 1 species